GCCUGUAGUGAGCACAAUCCACCGGGCCAGAUAUGGAGGAGGAUGGUUGAUCGCAGGAGGUGAAGAGAGGCGAAGGCAGUAGGAAGCUCAGGGAGAGAUGAGUUUGGGCUUCAAAUGGUGGAAAGGGCAGCUUCAGGGACAAGGAGUUAAGUUGUUCUCAGGGUUUGGUGGGUUUUUUGUGUCUUUCUGCUUUUAGUUUUCAUUUUAAACCCAGCUUUUGGACAACUUUUUCUACCAAGCUUUAAUUUGUUGGUUUAGUCCAAAAGGUUAAUAUUUGACAGCCACAUAAUGGAUAGUGACAUCUGUUGAGUCAAGGGUCUUCCAGAUUCAGAUGUUGCAGACUUUUUAGUCCUUAGUUUUCAUGAUCUGCAGCACCAUGUGGGUGAAAUCAGGCGUCAAAGCAAAUGUUUCUCGUAAGAUUUACGAUAGACUCACGGUGGCAGAGCCUGACACCUCUGUCAGGUUAGGGGAAGCUGAGGUGUGAUACAGGAAAGAAUCAGGAAAUUAUCAUCACAGUUGAAUCAGAGUCGAAGUUUGGCUUUCUAAUGGCCAUUUUGGUCAGAUUGAAAUAGCAGCAUGUAUUGAGGAAGUCACCAGUAGACAGAGUAGGAGAAUCAGGCUGAACCCAAAGUGGCCUCAAGCUCAACUCCAGCUGCAGAAAACCACAAGAGGAGACGCAGCAGAAUUAAAUAAAGGUGAGGCUGAAGAGGACAUGAUGGCCACGCAGAAGAUUUCCAACUUCCAUUUCCUCUCCUAUCCUUGUAUUUCUACGUCUUCGACCUCCUGCUCUCACUGCCCUUUGCAGCUGAAGCAACACACCUUGCUGUGGCUGGUCAAACGGAACCAAGUCAGGUGUUUCUGUGAGGUUUGGUCCCCUUCAACCAGCUACUGCGUCGUGAAUUCAGUCAGCGUGGAGUCAAAGACAGAGUGUGGUGUAUGCUGCUUUUUACAGAGGUGGUAGUUUAUUGACAGUGAUGUUAUUUAUUUGUUUCUGUAGUUUAGUGUUGGUUGUUCUCUGCAUGGUCAUUUAUGUUUGAAAAAGUAAAUAAAGAUUUCUGAUAACAUCAAGUGGUGAAUUACAAUUAAUUCUGAAUGUGUAAAGUUUUAAAAGUGGUUACCAAAUGUGAAAUAUAGUUUCGUAGAGUAAAAUGUCCCAAUACAAGCCCAUUUGAAACUUUUUUUUGUGUAUGUUGGUAAGGGUUUUCUUCUGUUUUAUUAGUUAUAGAGUGGUAUAAAAUGUGUUGCCUUUGUCCAAGUAUUACUACAAAUAAGUCAUUAUGUACAGUCAAUGUCUGAUAAUAACACUCUGCAUUGUAUACAACAUUUCAAAUAAAAUGUGAUUCUUACAGUA